AUUUGUUCACGGCCAGUGGAAUGCCGGUUGUGGCAAAGAUUAUCUGUUUUCGGCUGCAACUCUGGACUGGUUGGGCGCGUGGAAAUAUUGCUGCUCCAUUGGAAUGAAAUUGGCCUCGAUUGAGGCUCUUGAGGAAUUGAAUUGUCUUACAAAUAUGGUUGCGAAAUAUCCCAGAGCAGUCUACCCUGAUCAAUGUGGAAGGGAGUUUUGGACAUCUGGCACCAACCGCGGCUGUCCAGGCUCUCACUUCUGGUGUUCAGAGAAUGAAAAAUUAAACAAGGAAGAAAUAGCCAACUGGAAAAACGGGAAAAUGCCCUUGGAGAGUGCUGAUCAGUGCAUUUUCAUUAAUUUGUCAAAUUCGACUUUGAGUGAGACUUAUUUGGGCGCUGACUCUUGUACCGAGCAAAAACCGUUUCUUU